UGUGGAGGGUUCGAUUCUGGCUCAGGAUGAACGCUGGCGGCGUGCUUAACACAUGCAAGUCGAACGGGAUCCAUCAAGCUUGCUUGGUGGUGAGAGUGGCGAACGGGUGAGUAAUGCGUGACCGACCUGCCCCAUACACCGGAAUAGCUCCUGGAAACGGGUGGUAAUGCCGGAUGCUCCAGUUGAUCGCAUGGUCUUCUGGGAAAGCUUUCGCGGUAUGGGAUGGGGUCGCGUCCUAUCAGCUUGACGGCGGGGUAACGGCCCACCGUGGCUUCGACGGGUAGCCGGCCUGAGAGGGCGACCGGCCACAUUGGGACUGAGAUACGGCCCAGACUCCUACGGGAGGCAGCAGUGGGGAAUAUUGCACAAUGGGCGCAAGCCUGAUGCAGCGACGCCGCGUGAGGGAUGGAGGCCUUCGGGUUGUAAACCUCUUUUAUCGGGGAGCAAGCGAGAGUGAGUUUACCCGUUGAAUAAGCACCGGCUAACUACGUGCCAGCAGCCGCGGUAAUACGUAGGGUGCAAGCGUUAUCCGGAAUUAUUGGGCGUAAAGGGCUCGUAGGCGGUUCGUCGCGUCCGGUGUGAAAGUCCAUCGCUUAACGGUGGAUCCGCGCCGGGUACGGGCGGGCUUGAGUGCGGUAGGGGAGACUGGAA
rnacentral:rRNA from 1 species